GCGCCCGUAGCUCAAUGGAUAGAGCAGCGGACUUCGGAUCCGCUGGUUGGGGGUUCGACUCCCUUCGGGCGCGCCA
rnacentral:tRNA from 1 species